AAGGCAGCCUGCGAGCAGCCCCUGGAGCACAGGCUGGGCUGGCGGUGGAGGAGAGCGGAGCCAAGCUGCUGCCAAUACCAUCUCCAGCCCACAGGAAAGAACCUCGGCGGAAAGCGAGGAGGCAGAACAAUUGUGUGAACUUAGCUCCGGUUCUCACCCGCGAACAUCUGGCCACCGCGUCAUGUGUCAUUUAUUUGAUUCAAACCUGAUCUGGGAUUACGCACCGUGACACUCUCUUCAAGAGGGCCGGGAAGGACGCCAUCAGAGACGAGGGAGCACAGAAUCACCUCAGUAGCAGAACAGUGGAGCGGCUGAGAAGCUGGGUUUCUGAAAUCACCCAUUCACGAUGUCCAUAAUCCUGCCCACUCUUUUAAGGGGGACAUCAAAUAAAAGCUGGAAGCCAAGAGGUCUCUGGGAAAGCCCUCCUGUUGAGAACCGCAGGAAAAACCAACCGCGGAGGAGGAUGUCAUCUUGGGAUUGGCCCUUCGGAGGGAAGAGCACUGCUUUAAACAGUGUGUUUGCAAACACAGAUGUCAGGGACAGGCAGUUUAUUUUUAGAGUUCCGCAUAUCACAUUUCCCCACACUGAUUCCCUUUCUUAUCUUUUUCUGCAUCAGAACAGCCAAACAGGAUUCGAGUGAUGCUUUGAGAUGGCUCAGUUCCCUGCAUUGUGUCUAGAGCCUCGAAUGCAGCAGACGCUUAGCUCCAACGUGGCUGUAGUGGCUUCAUCCUCACAACUUCGGUCUUUGAACUGGAAGACUUUGGAUAACCGUCUCGUGGGCUUAUUCGCUGGCAGUUACAAAUCAGUCUGCAGGAUUCGUGUUCAGCUCACCCUGGGACACCCUUCCGCUAUUCCACAGACAUCAGGGACUGGGAGAGCAGGACACCAAGCUGAAAGGAAUUGAAAGCCCUGAGGAGCCAAGGAAAUCCAGGGAGGUCAGACGCCAAGUCUUACAUUUCCUCUGGGCAGAAGCUACUGAUGGCAGGAUUUUAGAUUGGAGGAGACUGGGCUGGCAUACCAUACAUGUAAGAGACUUGAAGAGUUUUUAGUUAACAGUUUACUCUCUCUAUAAAAACUCAGACAGGACUUACAAUGCACUAACCCUGCUCUAAGUGUUUUGCAAGUAUUUACUGCUUUUGUUCCCAAGGCGAUGUUCUACAUAAGGACGAUCAUUAUACCCAAUUAUUAGGUGGGACAUUGAGUCAUAAAAAAUUAAAAUAACUUGCAUAGAGCAAAAGGAAGACUUUUAAACACUUCUUCCACCAAAUACGUUAUUUCCUCUGCUAGAGAUGUAACCCCCCACUCCGUUUGUUUGGCAAACUCUUCCUCCUCCUUCAGCAUUAAAACUCAAAGGCCACUUCAUCUGCCGUCAAUGAACUAGUGACCUGGCCUUGAUUCUGACUUCCUCUACCUCUCUGGCGAGGCUUAUGCACGUCUCUGCUAGCCAUGAACACAUUCUGUUUCAGCAAUUUAACCUCUCUGUCUGUAAGUCAAAGGCCACAUCUUACACUUCUUGGCUUCCCUCUCCCGAGUAUAUACUGCCUGGAAACCAGCAGGCACUCUUGCAAAUUCUGCCUCAAGCUCCUUAUCAGACUCCAUUCUCACUUGCCCUUUAGGAUCCAGCAUAGAAAUGAGCUCUUGUAGAAGCCAUCCUCCCCCGAUAGACCUGGGCUCUGAUGCCUCUCCUGCCUCAUUGUCAAGUCACCGCGGUCCUGUGUACAGCAUGACAGGACAGUAAUGCCUGAGUGCCUGCCUCAAUCACAGUUAUUAGGUUCUUAGUCUGCCUCAGUUUACUGCUUUGUAAAAACAGAGUGAAACCGAUACCCCAUAAGCUUUCUGCAUGUUUUUUUUAAAAAAGACUGUGUAUGUCUGUCUGUCUAUCUAUCUAUCUAUCUAUCUAUCUAUCUAUCUAUCUAUCUAUCUAUAGGCAAUCUUAAAAAGGAAGCCAUAAAUUUGAAAGACAGCAAGGGGGAAGGGUACAUAGGAUUUGGCGGGAGGAAAGGAAAGGG
rnacentral:lncRNA from 1 species